ensembl:lncRNA
UGAAGAUGAGCGCUUUCCCCUCCAUCGAGCAGCAGAGCUAUUCCUGUAGCUGUCUGGUCCUCCUUUCAAAGUGGCAGGAGGGCAGGGCUCGGCUCGGGCUGGCUCGUGGUGACACAUUGCACUGGUAGCUUUUUAUGGUGCUCAUCAUGCUGAUGAUCUGAUUGCCUCCCAGGUGCUAAUGAAUAUCUCCUGCAAUGGGCCUGUGAGAUAGACUCAUAAAUUACUCCUGGUACACAAAAUGCGUGGGAGGCUGCCUGUUUGCUCAGCAUGGGACCAAGACCUGCACAUUCAAAUAUCGGCAGACAGCUGGAACGCAAUCUGUGAAAAGGCACUCAGAGCCUCCAGGUCUAUUAAAUACAAACUCAGAACAUCUAUCGAGAAUUUUAUAUCUUACAUUACACGGGUAAUGCUAAAAAGAAUAGGUGUUAUACCCCUGGGACAGUAAAUGCAGCGUCAGUAUCCGAAAAAAUCUUUCUUUUGUGGUUGGUGGAUCAGUGUGUGCACGGGGGUAUGGAUGCGUAUAUAUGGUUGUGUAUGAAUUUGUAUGUGUAUGAAUUUGUAUGUCCAUUCUCAAAUAUUUGAGAAAGGACAAUCAGCCUGGACAGUUGGGCAGAGGAACCUUAUGAGGUUUGAUAGGGGCAAGUGGAGAGUCCUGUGCCUUGGGGAAGAAAAGCUGCACACACUGGUACAGGUUAAGGGAUGACCUCAUGGAGAGGAGCUCUGCAGAAAAGGACUUGGGUGUCCUGGCAGCCAACAGGUUGUCCAUGAGCCAGCAGUGUGCCCUUGUGGGCAAUGGUAUCCUGGGGUUCAUUAAAAAGAGCUUGUCCAGAAGGCUGAGAGUGGUGAUCCUCCCCCUCUACUCCACCCUGGUGAGGCCACCUCUGGAGUACUAUGUCCAGUUCUGGGCUCCCCAGUUCAAGAAAGACAGAGAACUUCUGACAGUCCAGCAAAGGGCCACAAGGAUGAUUUGUGGCCUGGAGAAUCUCCCUGAUGAGGAGAGGCUGAGACACUUGGGACCGAUCAGCCUGAAGAACAGAUGACUGAUAGAGAAUCUUAUCAAUGGCUAUAAAUAUCUAAUGGGGGUGUGAAGUGGAUGUUUCUGAUGUUGGGAAAAUCUCCAUUAUGGAGAUUUAGCUGCCAUAUGGCCUCUUUUUUUUUUUUUUUUUUUUUUCAUACAGGCUGUAUUUUUGAAAAUUCACUGUCUGAUUCUGCAAUUUAGUCUACAGGCCAGUGCUUAUCCCAACCCAUGAAGUGGUCUGCGAUGGCAUUUACACUGCCUUCACCUGGUGUGGAUGCACAGAUUUUCCCAACAUAUUUUACUUUCCUGGUGCCCACAGUAUCACAAAUUACCACAGUAAUCAAAAUUUGGAAAAAUGCUUUACUCAGUCUUUAAUCUAAAGGCCACCUCUUGAUUAAGCUGGUUUUGAAUAUGAGCCAGAUAUGUUUCCAGCUGCGAGUAAGGCCCAGGUAUUCAGGCUAGUCAUACGUCAAAUUUGAUUAGCAGCAUAAUCCAUUGGGCACGGAAAUGUUUCAUGAACAUUUCAAAGCAUCUCUGGAUGCACAUGGGUUGCAGUUGUCGACUGUGCAGACGCUGUUGGAUAUACCUUGUUUUGGAAAGGAAGAAUCUGAUUAUGAAAGAAAUAACGUGUUCAGGCUUUAUGUUGUAGUGUUGUCCUGAAAGUUUUGUUAAAACACAACGUGAUGAACGUGUGCUUCAUUUUGGGUGCUCGGGGAAGGCAGCGCAGGGGUGCAUGGUGGUGGGUGAAGAGUGUGCUGGAGGGAGAUGUAUUUGUGACGUGAUCUUUCCCCAAAGAAAACUGAAUCCUCUAUAUUUCUCCCCAGAAAUUGGUUGUUUCUGGAAUAUUUUGGCUCUUUCAGGAAUAAAAUGUGGUCAGGAGGGAAG